GGGAUGACACAGUAGGAUAAGCUAAGCACACUGUUGGUUAUGUGUGCCCAAGCAUUGAGGCAGUCAAAGUAGGCAAAUCCGCUUUGAUAAUGCUGGGAUGUGAUGGGGAGCGAAAUUUAGUAGCGAAGUAGCUGAUUUCACACUGUCAAGAAAAGUCUCUAUCGAGGUUAAAGGUACCCGUACCGCAAACCGACACAGGUGGGUGAGGAGAGUAUCCUAAGGCCAGCGAGAGAACUGUUGUUAAGGAACUCGGCAAAAUGACCCCGUAACUUAGGGAUAAGGGGUGCCACCAUCAGGUGGCCGCAGAGAAUAGGCCCAAGCGACUGUUUACCAAAAACAUAGGUUUCUGCUAAGUCGCAAGACGAUGUAUAGGAGCUGACGCCUGCCCGGUGCUGGAAGGUUAAGGGGAUCUGUUAGAGCAAUCGAAGCAGUGAACUUAAGCCCCAGUAAACGGCGGCCGUAACUAUAACGGUCCUAAGGUAGCGAAAUUCCUUGUCGGGUAAGUUCCGACCCGCACGAAAGGCGUAACGAUUUGGGCACUGUCUCAACAACAGACUCGGUGAAAUUGUAAUUCCGGUGAAGAUGCCGGAUACCUGCGACAGGACGGAAAGACCCCAUGGAGCUUUACUGUAGCUUGACAUUGGGUCUUGGUACUACAUGUACAGGAUAGGUGGGAGGCUUUGAAACCAGGACGCCAGUUUUGGCGGAGCCAUCCUUGGGAUACCACCCUUGUAGUACUGGGACUCUAACCAUAGGCCAUGAAUCUGGUCUUGGGACACUGUCAGGUGGGCAGUUUGACUGGGGCGGUCGCCUCCCAAAAGGUAACGGAGGCGCUCAAAGGUUCUCUCAGUACGGUCGGAAAUCGUACGUAGAGUGUAAAGGCAAAAGAGAGCUUGAUUGCAAGACAUACAGGUCGAGCAAGGAUGAAAAUCGGACUUAGUGAUCCGGUGGUUCUGCGUGGAAGGGCCAUCGCUCAACGGAUAAAAGCUACCCUGGGGAUAACAGGCUUAUCUCCCCCAAGAGUCCACAUCGACGGGGAGGUUUGGCACCUCGAUGUCGGCUCAUCACAUCCUGGGGCUGUAGUAGGUCCCAAGGGUUGGGCUGUUCGCCCAUUAAAGUGGUACGCGAGCUGGGUUCAGAACGUCGUGAGACAGUUCGGUCCCUAUCCGUCGCAGGCGUAGGAAAUUUGAGAAGACCUGUCCUUAGUACGAGAGGACCGGGAUGGACGUACCUCUGGUGUACCAGUUGUCCUGCCAAGGGCAUGGCUGGGUAGCUAUGUACGGAAUGGAUAAGCGCUGAAAGCAUCUAAGCGCGAAGCCAACUUCAAGAUAAGAUUUCCCACCGCAAGGGUAAGACCCCAGAAAGACUAUCUGGUUGAUAGGUCGAAGGUGUAAGUGCAGCAAUGUAUUUAGCUUAUCGAUACUAAUAGGUCGAGGACUUGACCAAU
rnacentral:rRNA from 1 species